CCUACGGGUGGCAGCAGUGGGGAAUAUUGCACAAUGGGGGAAACCCUGAUGCAGCGACGCCGCGUGAGUGAAGAAGUAUCUCUGUAUGUAAAGCUCUAUCAGCAGGGAAGAAAAUGACGGUACCUGACUAAGAAGCCCCGGCUAACUACGUGCCAGCAGCCGCGGUAAUACGUAGGGGGCAAGCGUUAUCCGGAUUUACUGGGUGUAAAGGGAGCGUAGACGGCGCGGCAAGUCCGGAGUGAAAGCCCAUGGCUUAACCAUGGUACUGCUCUGGAAACUGUGGAGCUUGAGUGAAGUAGAGGCAGGCGGAAUUCCUAGUGUAGCGGUGAAAUGCGUAGAUAUUAGGAGGAACACCAGUGGCGAAGGCGGCUUACUGGACUGUAACUGACACUGAGGCACGAAAGCGUGGGGAGCAAACAGGAUUAGAUACCCCAGUAGUC
rnacentral:rRNA from 1 species